rnacentral:rRNA from 1 species
AUUGAACGCUGGCGGCAGGCUUAACACAUGCAAGUCGAGCGAACGGCGGACGGGUGAGUAGUGGCUGGGAAACUGCCUGAUGGAGGGGGAUAACUACAGGAAACGGUAGCUAAUACAACAUACCAUCAGAUGGGCCCAGAUGGGAUUAGCUAGUAGGUGGGGUAAUGGGUCACAUAGGCGACGAUCCCUAGCUGGUCUGAGAGGAUGACCAGCCACACUGGAACUGAGACACGGUCAAGACUCCUACGGGAGGCAGCAGUGGGGAAUAUUGCACAAUGGGCGAAAGCCUGAUGCAGCCAUGCCGCGUGUGUGAAGAAGGCCUUCGGGUUGUAAAGCACUUUCAGCGAGGAGGCGUUACUCGCAGAAGAAGCACCGGCUAACUCCGUGCCAGCAGCCGCGGUAAUUC